rnacentral:rRNA from 1 species
AAAGGGAGCAAUCCUAAGUAAAGUGGCGCACGGGUGAGUAACACGUGGAUCAUCUACCUUUUAGUGGGGGAUACCUCUGGGAAACCGGAGACAAUACCGCAUAAGCCUGUAAAGGGAAAGCAGCAAUGCGCUGAAAGAGGAGUCCGCGGCCGAUUAGCUAGUUGGCGGGGUAAUGGCCCACCAAGGCGAAGAUCGGUAGCCGGCCUGAGAGGGCACACGGCCACACUGGCACUGAAACACGGGCCAGACUCCUACGGGAGGCAGCAGUGGGGAAUCUUGCACAAUGGGCGAAAGCCUGAUGCAGCGACGCCGCGUGAGCGAUGAAGCCCUUCGGGGUGUAAAGCUCUUUCGACGGGAACGAUAAUGACGGUACCCGGAGAAGAAGCUGCGGCUAACUACGUGCCAGCAGCCGCGGUAAUACGUAGGCAGCGAGCGUUGUUCGGAAUUACUGGGCGUAAAGAGUGUGUAGGCGGUGCUCCCAGUCUGUUGUGAAAUCUCCCGGCUUAACUGGGAGGGUGCAGCGGAAACUAGAGUGCUAGAGGGUGGGAGAGGUAAGCGGAAUUCCUGGUGUAGCGGUGAAAUGCGUAGAUAUCAGGAGGAACACCUGUGGUGUAGACAGCUUACUGGACCACUUCUGACGCUGAGACACGAAAGCGUGGGUAGCAAACAGGAUUAGAUACCCUGGUAGUCCACGCCCUAAACGAUGCAUACUUGGUGUGAGCGAUUCAUUUCGUUCGUGCCGGAGCUAACGCGUUAGUAUGCCGCCUGGGGAGUACGGUCGCAAGGCUGAAACUCAAAGGAAUUGAC